CCUUUUCAUAACACGCCCCAUUCGCGCGUCAAUUGUCAAAAAAGAACCAAUGACAGCACCCAAAUAUUAACAAACAAACUCGCAUUAAAACGUUGCGGGGUUUUCUCUGCUUAUUCAGAACAUAAGCAAUGUGUAAAUGGCAGCGUUUUAACUCCAAAAAGCAAGCAACGCAGUCAGUAAUUGCCAAAUUUGCAAGUGCUCAUUUUCAACUAAAAUCGGAACAGGCAAAUUAGGACGAAUUUCAACAGAAAACCAGUCUCAAACUUCAAAUCGUGAGGGAAGUCGUGCGACACAUUAGCAUUUAUAUUAUGUGUGCUUCGCUGUCGCCAUUGGCAUUGUUAUAAAUAAAUUGUCUCACUUUACACUUAUCAGACCGUGUGUGCAAUUCUUGUUGGCGGCGGAAAGUACGAAAUUUAUUUCAGUUAUUUCAUUUGGUAAAGAACUCUACAAAAGAAGAGAGCAUUCAGAGUCCAGAUCGUUUCGUUUCAAACGGCAAUUUAAUACCGCCUUCUGUUUCGCUCUCUCAGCGAAGCCUUGUAAAUCGCAAAGUGUUUGGAAUAGGCUUAAAUGCAACUGCAUCUCAACAUCAACCAAAAGAUAAUUUUCUUGAGGAACAUAUAACGUAUCAAGUCUGUUUGAAAUUAAUGAAACUCAAGUAAAGGUUACUAUAGUUUACCUCAGUCGUAAUGAGUACUAUUCCAACACCUC